rnacentral:siRNA from 1 species
GGUUGCGGAUGGCGGUCCUCUAU